AUUGAACGCUGGCGGCAUGCCUUACACAUGCAAGUCGAACGGCAGCGCGGACUUCGGUCUGGCGGCGAGUGGCGAACGGGUGAGUAAUACAUCGGAACGUACCCUGUUGUGGGGGAUAACUAGGCGAAAGAUUAGCUAAUACCGCAUACGACCUGAGGGUGAAAGUGGGGGACCGCAAGGCCUCACGCAGCAGGAGCGGCCGAUGGCUGAUUAGCUAGGUGGUGGGGUAAAGGCCCACCAAGGCGACGAUCAGUAGCUGGUCUGAGAGGACGAUCAGCCACACUGGGACUGAGACACGGCCCAGACUCCUACGGGAGGCAGCAGUGGGGAAUUUUGGACAAUGGGGGCAACCCUGAUCCAGCAAUGCCGCGUGUGUGAAGAAGGCCUUCGGGUUGUAAAGCACUUUUGUCCGGAAAGAAAUCGCGCUGGUUAAUACCUGGCGUGGAUGACGGUACCGGAAGAAUAAGCACCGGCUAACUACGUGCCAGCCGCCGCCGUAA
rnacentral:rRNA from 1 species